ensembl:misc_RNA 7SK 7SK RNA
GGUUGUGAUGGUGUUCUGGCUCUGACACUUGUCACAGCAUCGACUGCCAGGGUUGAUCUGGCAGAUCUGGCUGGUGAGGACACUCCUUUCUCCCGCACCACUCUGUGUGUUUCUCUGAUGCUACAUGCUUGGUAGAAGAAGACAACCUUCUGUCAUAGAGGAGAACUGUCCUUUAGUCAAGGGUAGAUGAGCAGCUACGACCCCCUGUUAGAACCUUCAAACAAGCUCUCAAGGUCCACUUAUAGAAAGGAGCAGGGCCGUUAAACUUCCAAGACUCCAGACACACCCAGAGGAAGCACUGUACUCGGCAGUCUGCCUUUCUUU